CAUUUGCAUGGAGUUUACGCUUGCCGUAACUUGCAUGCUCUAAUUCCAUCCUUGUUGAGUCCAUUAAUCUUCGAGUUAACUGCUGAGACUUGUGCUGUGAGCAGCUGUAUAACUUGUGUGUCCCGGUGACCAAUAUCUGGCUCCUGAGUCGGGAGGCUAGUUGUUCUAGUACCCUGGUGGUGGUGUUUGGAGCAAGGAAUGUGGAUUGCCGUUUGUGAUCACUCACCUCACUGUGUGUAUGUGUGUGCGUGCGGGUGACGACACGUUCGAGCUGCAUUUGGUGCUCCUCGAGCUGGAGGCCGUGGAGAAGCAG